AAACUAACAAGGAUUCCCCUAGUAACUGCGAGUGAAGCGGGAAGAGCUCAAAUUUGUAAUCGCUUCGGCGAGUUGUAAACUAGAGAAGCGUUAUCAGGCCCCGACCGCGCUAAAGUCCCUUGGAACAGGGUGUCAUAGAGGGUGAGAAUCCCGUGCUUGGCGUGGCUGCGGGGCUGUAGAGGCGCUCUCGACGAGUCGAGUUGUUUGGGAAUGCAGCUCAAAASGGGUGGUAAACUCCAUCUAAAGCUAAAUAGUGGCGAGAGACCGAUAGCGAACAAGUACCGUGAGGGAAAGAUGAAAAGGACUUUGGAAAGAGAGUUAAACAGUACGUGAAAUUGCUGAAAGGGAAGCGCUUGGAGUAAGUCGCGUGUGCAGGAAUCAGCUCGCGCAUUUCCUGCUCACGGGCCAGCAUCGACCUCGGGCGGCGGAGAAGGGCUGGAGGAAUGUGGCAUCUUCGGGUGUGUUAUAGCCUCCUGCCGUACACGUCGCGCGGGGUCGAGGACCGCGGCUCUGCCUAGGAUGCUGGCGUAAUGGCUUCAAGCGACCCGUCUUGAAACACGGACCAAGGAGUCUAACAUGCGUGCGAGUGUUUGGGUGGUAAACCCAGGCGCGUAAUGAAAGUGAACGGAGGUGGGAGCUUCGGCGCACCAUCGACCGGUCCGGAACUUCUGGGAUGGAUCUGAGUAAGAGCAUGUAUGUUGGGACCCGAAAGAUGGUGAACUAUGCCUGAAUAGGGCGAAGCCAGAGGAAACUCUGGUGGAGGCUCGUAGCGAUUCUGACGUGCAAAUCGAUCGUCAAAUUUGGGUAUAGGGGCGAAAGACUAAUCG
rnacentral:rRNA from 1 species